CAUCUCAGAUCACCUUGACCGAGUUUUGCAUCUUCCCUCGACAGUCUGCUUUACUCCCAGGGUUAGUCACACAGUGUGGGAACUGGUCCUCUGCCUCCCAGAGACGCAGUCGCCUGAUUGUCAUCUCUAUUUGUGAUGAGUGGCACACUUUUUGUGACUCACAGGUGGGGUAGAAGUGGAGCCCAGUCUUAGAGAUGCGAGUCCCACGUUGUUCUGAGGAGUGUCUACUUCAUGAUGGACUGCCUGCAGUGUGGCUUCCUCCUCCCCUCCUUGCCAACACAGACUCAAGUUCAUCCAGGUGCUGAUUCCUCAGGGAACAGAACCACAGCCCAAGGGGAUGGAGCUUUUGGAAUGUUUCAUGAAAGAGCAUGCACACAGACAUGCUCAGGCAAGAUUCCUAAGUGCAGCGUCUGUGAGAGGCAUCAGGCUGGGAGCCGAGGAGGAUGCGUCCUGUUUAGAGUCUCCUUCCAAGACAACCCCAGCACUGCAUCAGUGUAACUCCUCAUCGUUUCAUGAUGGCCAGGAUACCCAACCUCUCCACCCCUCCUGCCUUCUGCCUCAGCUUUCUUCUGUGCUGUAGUGUCCCCCAGAUGAUGGCAAAGAUGACGAGCAGCAGCCCAGGACUCACAUUCCACAGCCUGGGACUUCCUGAGGGCAAAGAUUCAGAAACGUGGAGAGAUCUAAGAAUCCCCCACAAAGUUUAUUGAAAAACACCCAUUCCAGGGCCUCACCUCACCUCCAGGAUUCGGAUUCCAGAUGCCCAGGGAUUACCUGUAACCUAUGCUUUUUUGCAAGCAGCAGAUACAGAUGGUCCAAACACCACAUUUUGAGAAACACAUGCAACAGAAAAAUGACAGACUUCUAGCAGCUCUCAGUGUUUACUACAAAUCCAAACUACCUGCGGUGUUUCCUCAAAACAGGUGCCUUGGCACUACCUGUAAACCUGAGUAAUCAACAUUUGCAGGGGUAAGGCUGGCAAACUGUAGUUGUGUGGCCCACCACGGGUGUUUCUGACCACUAUAAAGCAGUGAUUCUCAAGCUUCACUGUGGGUAGGAAUCAGCUGGGGAUCUUUAAAAAAAAAAUGUUUGGAGGCCAGUGCUGUGGCGCAGCGGGUUAAAGCCCUGGCCUGCAGUGCCAGCAUCCCAUAUGGGUGCCAGUUCUAGUCCCGGCUGCUCCUCUUCCAAUCCAGCUCUCUGCUGUGGCCUGAGAAAGCAGUAGAAGAUGGCCCAAGUCCUUGCGCCCCUGUACCCAUGGGAGACCUAGAAGAAGCUCCUGGCUCCUGGCUUCGGAUCAGCGCAGUUCCAGCCAUUGUGGUCAUCUGGGGAGUGAACCAGCUGAUGGAAGACCC